rnacentral:tRNA from 14 species
GAAAGUAACUCAACGGUAGAGUGUAACCUUGCCAAGGUUAAGGUUGAGAGUUCGAAUC